rnacentral:piRNA from 1 species
CCAAGGAGUUCAUCUUCUCAGAGCUGCUGUCC